AGAAGGAAGUCGGACAGCAAGUCCUUACCCAGGCUGGGCCCCACCCCGGCCUCCCAGCUCGCUCCCAUCCCAUCUCUCCCAGCUGUGUUUGUUUAGUCUCGUCUGGAUAUUUUCGUUGGCCCUUCCCAUGUAUCCUCCCUCCCCAGCUGACUGUCAAUGGGAGGACCCCCAGCCUAGUUCAGGACUCUGCAGAAAUGGCGGGGGUCAGUAUCCCCAAGUUGUGAACUGCAAACUGGCUGAGAACCAAGGUGGCCACCCCUGCCCCCAACCCCCCUCCACUUACCUGCCCCAGAACCAAGGCCUGUGCCGGUAACGCCUCCCCGACCCUGCCCUGCAGGUGAACGGGGUCUGCAUGGAGGGGAAGCAGCAUGGGGACGUGGUGUCCGCCAUCAGAGCUGGCGGGGACGAGACCAAGCUGCUGGUGGUGGACAGGGAAACCGACGAGUUCUUCAAGAAAUGCAGAGUGACCCCAUCUCAGGAGCACCUGAAUGGUCCCCUGCCUGUGCCCUUCACCAAUGGGGAGAUACAGAAGGAGAACAGUCGUGAAGCCCUGGCAGAGGCAGCCUUGGAGAGCCCCAGGCCAGCCCUGGUGAGAUCCGCCUCCAGUGACACCAGCGAGGAGCUGAAUUCCCAAGACAGCCCCCCAAAACAGGACUCCACAGCGCCCUCGUCUACCUCCUCCUCCGACCCCAUCCUAGACUUCAACAUCUCCCU
rnacentral:sRNA from 1 species